rnacentral:rRNA from 1 species
UACGAAGGGGGCUAGCGUUGCUCGGAAUCACUGGGCGUAAAGGGUGCGUAGGCGGGUCUUUAAGUCAGGGGUGAAAUCCUGGAGCUCAACUCCAGAACUGCCUUUGAUACUGAAGAUCUUGAGUUCGGGAGAGGUGAGUGGAACUGCGAGUGUAGAGGUGAAAUUCGUAGAUAUUCGCAAGAACACCAGUGGCGAAGGCGGCUCACUGGACCGUACUGACGCUGAUGCGCGAAAGCGUGGGGAGCAACAGGAU